UCUUUUGUAGCUCCGGAGUUCUUGUAGGGGAAAGGAAUGUGCUGUGGUGGGAAUUUCAGACGCCUCAGUCAUUUCUUGCUCUCUGUCGGAUCUCGGGUGAUCCUGAGGG
rnacentral:miRNA from 7 species